AGGGUGUAAACGCUGCAGACUUGGUGUUGGGAACCCUUCGGGGGUGCUCAGUGCCGGAGAGAAGUUGUUAAGUCUGCUACUUGGGAGUACGUCCGCAAGGAUGAAACUUAAAGGAAUUGGCGGGGGAGCACCGCGACGGGAGGAGCGUGCGGUUUAAUUGGAUUCAACGCCGAAAAACUCACCAGCAGCGACUGUUACAUGAAAGUCAGGUUGAUGACCUUACUAGAUUUUUCAGAGAGGAGGUGCAUGGCGUCAGUGACU
rnacentral:rRNA from 1 species